ACAAUCAACAUGCAAAACAUCAUAUUUAGGCUUUAAGGUUUAAAGUAUUAUACAAAUAUUAUAUGAGGUUCUGACAAGCUAAUUAACUCUAAUGUAAACUUUAAAUGCAGAAUGCAAUGAAGAGCCAGACAUUUAAAUGAUCCUGUUCAAUGAAUCCUAUGUUUUGCUGGAGAGGGCAGUAAAUGACAGGAUGAAGUCUGCUUGUUGAAAUUUCUCCUAGGAUUAACAGGACCGUCUCGUCUUUUCCCACGCUGAACAUCUGACUGUCCCCCCCUUCUGUGAGAGAAGUCUGAAAACCACGGCAAUGGCCAUCAAAAAACCAACAACUUCCUCUGUCGCCUGCUCACUUCCUGUUUCUGCGUCUGAGGGCCCAACGGUGCAGUGAUGAUUAGCCGGGCCUUUGCGUGACAAUCAAGCAGCCAGACGCACUUAGUUUCCCCCAUUCAGACCGGAAGCAGCACUAUUGCAACGAAUCAUCUGUGAAAUCUGUCUGCGCCCUUUCAAAAACAGGAAGUGUGACUGAGAUCUGAUAAAGACCCUCUCAAUUUCAUCCAGAUCACAUGGGCAUCAGUCAUCAGAACAACCUCCUCGACAG